GGGGAGGGUGAGGAAAGGCCCUGAGCUCCUGGAGCCUGACACAGACCCCAGGAUGGGCUUUUGUCAGCUCAUUCCAGUGGGGCUUAUCACUGCCGAUUUCCUCGCAGGGGAUGGCAAGGUGAAGGCUGAUUCGGAGGAGGAUGUGGAAGAGCAUCCGCAAGAGCAAAGCUUCUCAGCAAAGAUGCCUCCAAAUGGGAAGGCCUUACAUUUUCACCCAUCAGUUCUGCAUUUUGGAAUGCAGUUGCUGGGGUUACCCAGAGCUAAAAUGCUGCAUGCCUACAACCCUAGUAGAGAUAGAGAUGUUGUAGUCAAUUCAGUGUUUACAGCUACUAGACAGUUUCAUGUGUCUCCUGCUCAUAGCCGGGUGAUUCCAGCGAUGGGAAAGAUGUCUUUCAGAGUACUCUUCCUGCCCACAGAAGAAGGCAGUAUUGAAAGCUCAUUAUUUAUAAAUACCUCAUCUCAUGGAGUACUUUCAUAUCAGGUUUUUGGAACAGGAACUCCGAUGUCUUCUCCAGAAGAACCUAAAGUGCAGCUAGCAAAUGCCUACUUACUGCUUCCACACAUUCAGAACAUCCAGGCAUCACACACACUGACAGAAACAAUGAAUGCCAGUCUAUUACGGGUUCACCUUGAAUGCAGUUUACCUAAUGACACGUACCAGCUAGUUAAGAGUUGCUGUUCUAUGUCCGAUGACCCAAUGCUGCUAGAAAUGAGCUUAACAGUAAGAGUGGAAAAUGCCCAGCAAGAUUUUGUGGAACACAGACAAUACUUACUGGAGAAUCUUUUUAUAGUUUAUGUAGCAAUGGAAAGAACAAAGACCUCAGGUCCUUCAUCAGUAGAUGUGUAUAUCAUGCAUUCUGGAAGCAGCCUUGUGCAUAUACAGGAAAUACGGCAGUUGUCACAAAAGGACACAUCAGCUGUGGAGUUUGAGCCAGUAUUGUUAUCCUCAUCAUCUACUAACUUCACAAAAGUUGCUUCUAUUUCUUGUAAAGCUGCAUCCUGUGACAGUGAAAGUCUUUAUUCUGACAACAAGAACAAUCUUUUGAAAGGCACUACGACACUUAAAGCCUGUCUUUUUUGUCCUGUGAUGGAAGGGUAUUUUGAUGUAGAUCCUUCUGCAGCACUGUUUCAUAUAGAACCACAUCAUAAUACUUCAGGGUAUUGGUCCAUAUGGUUUACAAAUAAUUUUUACUUCAGCAUUGAAUUGAAUGAGGUCUUCGUAGCCAGAGAAACAAAGAACAUAGUAAAGAUCCUGAACUUCGCUGAACCUCUGACACUACCUCCAGGCUGCUGGAAUGUAUUUUCUUUGAAGCUCAGUGUGAAAGACACUGUAACGAAUGUGCUCUCCAGUAUUUGUUUGUCCACAAAUAUGGGAGUGAUGUUUGAAAUACCUCUGCAGAUAUAUUCAACUGUGUCCAAGCAGGGAGACCUUAAUUUUGAAGCAAUUGCCCACUGUGAUAUCCAGUGCUACUUGGGAAAGUCUGAUUCAGCAAAUCUGCUUUGGCAGAAGAGUCUCUCUCUGGACCGUUCUGCCUGGGAUGUGGAUUCUGAGCUUGCAAGUGACCUUUAUGAAAGAUGGCAAAAAAUCAGACGUGGGGAAGCAUGCAGCAGGAAAAGUGUUUUAGGAUCAGCUCGCUUUACUCAGCAGAAGAACUCAGAAGAGGAAUCCUUUGCCUUUUACUUGCCACGAUUGACUGCAGAGCCCAGCUUUACACUCAACUUUAAUGCCACAGCUGUUAAAAGUAGUAUGGUAAAAUAUUUCGUACUAAGAAACCCUUCAUCCUUCCCAGUUACGUUGCAGCUUCUGCCUCUUUCUUACUACCCUGAUCCCCAAGCUUCACUGAGUCUGCUGAACAAAUGGUUCGGCAUAAAUGUGCAAGCUAUUAAUUUCACAACCACCGAAUUCAGGCUAAUGGAUGAAUGUUCUCAUGGGAAUGCACAUCAAGAGGACCUCAUCAGCAAGAAAUGCAGUUCUGAGAUGCUUUGGUUAAGUUUACAGCCACUGGAAACCAGGAAAGUUGGUGUAAUUUUUACACCUCUUGACUACAAAAGAGUAGCUUCCCUUAUUUUAAUCAGAAACAACUUAACCGUUCUGGAUGUGGUCAAUGUAGAAGGCUUUGGAGCCAAGGAAUUGCUUAAAGUAGGGGGAAGACUGCCUGGUGCUGGAGGAUCCCUUCGAUUUAAGGUGCCAGAAGCUACACUAAUGGACUGCAGACGACAACGGAAAGACAGCAAACAAAUUCUAUCCAUUACGAAGAACUUCAAAGUAGAGAAUAUUGGGCCUCUUCCUAUAACAAUUUCAUCAAUGAAAAUCAAUGGUUACAGUUGCCAAGGAUAUGGAUUUGAAGUGUUAGACUGUCAAGAAUUUUUCCUGGCUCAGAACUCAUCACGAGAAAUUAGCAUUGUAUUCACCCCUGACUUUACAUCUUCAUGGGUAAUUCGUGAGCUCACACUGGUGACUGCUGCUGAUUUGGAGUUCCACUUCACGCUCAACGUGACUCUCCCUCACCAUCUGUUGCCUCUGUGUGCAGAUGUGGUGCCAGGACCCAGCUGGGAAGAGUCUUUCUGGAGGCUCACUGUCCUCUUCGUAAGUUUGUCCCUGCUUGGAGUGAUUCUGAUAGCCUUCCAGCAAGCCCAGUAUAUUUUAGCAGAGUUCAUGAAAUCAAGACAGAGGCCCAGUCCUAGUGCUUCAGUGCCACAGCAGAACAGCAGCUCUGUUGACGUAAUCAGCUCUGAUUCCUACAAGGGAAGCUGCAAGACAUUUAUGGAUUCCUAUAGUUCCUCAGAUAAAGGUAAAGGGAAGGGCUUCCUGUCUGUAGGCACUUCUUCCAGCCGAAGCCAGAGUGCGGCCAAGAGAAGUCCUGCGACCUACAGCCACUCUCAGAAGAAACACAAAUGUUCAGUUUACUACAGUAAGCAGAAGCCAAACACAGCAGCUGGCAGUGCCAUUGCAUCUGCUGAUGAGAAGCAGAAUCAGAUUGCAGAGAACCAAAUCUCAGCACCAAAAGAGGACAUUUGCACUGAUGUUGUCAGUGAGAACUGGGUAACUCUGAAAUAUGCAAAUGGCAUAAAUGUUAACAAGAAUUUAACUCUUCCAGAAGACUUUCUGGGUAAAGAAGAAAGUACACUGAAAAAUACAGUUCUCAUUAAAAAUACUUCUUCAGAGUGUGAUCUGAAGGAAGAUCUUCAAACAUGUAUGUUUCCUAAGGAAACUAACCUUAAAACUUCAGAAAAUCUAGCUGAGCUCAAAGAACAGGAGUUCUGUUCUGUGAAGAUGUCCAAGAAGCUACCUGAAAGUCACUUGUCCAGAAAUUCACCUCAACAACAGCCAGAACUGCAAGAAAUUUCUAGGAAAAUUAGUGGGAACAGCCAGCAAGUGCCUCUCAGGAAUGAAACAGAAAAUUGUGAGACUUUAAAAAAGCAGAUCAACUUAAAGCCUUCCACAGAGAAAAAGAUUAAUAAGGGACCUAAGGAAGAGACUCCAUGCUGUGCAAAAGAGGAGAUUGCUUCUUCUGAGCAAGAAGAUGCAUAUAGGAAGAAGAAACCUCAGGAGAAAAAGGAGGGAAAUGUACCAAAUAUGAAUUGGAAUAGAAAUAGAACAUCUAGGAAAAAUAAGAAGAAGAAUGUAAAUAUAUCUACAAGAGUCCCUGAGCAGAGUGAGUUGAAGCAUAUGUGCAGUGAAUUUGAAAGGCCGGAUCUGAGAGCGAAUAUUGGAAUAAGAGCUUGGUGUCCUCAGAGUAACGGGGAAAAUUGUAAAGCAGACCAAAAAGCUGGGAGCUUGUCCAUACAGGGAGAAACAGAAAACUUUUAUCAGCGGUCCAAAAAGAAGUGUUUGGAGAAGUUUUGUUCUGAUUCAAGCUCAGAUUGUGGAAGUUCGUCAGGAAGUGUUCGUGCAAGUCGUGGGAGCUGGGGUAGCUGGAGCAGUACCAGCAGUUCAGAUGGAGAUAAAAAGCCAAUGAUUACUACCAGGCAUUUUCUUCCAUCCAUCAUUCUUUUCUUUAGGAGAGAAUAUUUCACAAAAUGAUUUUCCAUCUGAAACUCCUAUCACUCUAAAUCUGUCUCAUAACAUCUGCAAUACCAGCAGAGACAUGAACAGCAUCCCCCAAUAUCCUGAAACCUUAUGUCCCAAUUUCACUGACAUAGCUGCAGAUCCUGACAAAAAUAAAGGUCUUUACCCAACAGGAGACUUGUGGCCUGCCCAGCCGGUCUGUGUGACAAACAGCUUGAACUACAACCUUGAGAAUAAUAUACCAUGCAUGAUCCAAGAAACCCCCUCUGUCCACAACAGCUUCAUUGACUGGAAUGCAGCUUGUGACAGCCAGUUUUCCAACAUGUAUUGUCCACUAGAGAUGAAUGAAUAUGGUGCUUUCCCAGAAGAAAACAUGAACUACCCCAGUGGCUUCCCAGGUACUGCAGCAGUGCAGAAUACAGCCUUCAUUGACCAGAACUGUCCCUCCACCUGGAAUGCUCCUCCCAACAUGCCACCUGCCUGGGAGCCUGCCAGCUAUGUCAACUCCACACCCUACCUCUCAAGCACCCGAAGCUUGUCUCCAAUGUCUGGACUUUUUGGUUCCAUCUGGGCACCUCAGAGUGAUGUUUAUGAAAGCUGCUGCCCCGUCAGUGCCACGACUCAGCAUUCAACCCAUGUGGAGAACCAGGCAGUUAUGUGUAAGCAGGAAUAUUACCCGAGGUUUAACCCUUUCCGUGCCUACAUGAACUUGGACAUAUGGACUACAGCAGCCAAUCGAAAUGCAAAUUUCCCACUUUCGAGGGACUCGGGUUAUUGUGGAAACGUGUGAAAGGAAUUUGAUUUAAAAAUGUGAAUAAAGAUGCUUGCAAUUUUGAUUACUAGAGUAAGCUGGUUGCUGAAUAGAUUACAAUGUUGGUGAAUAUUUUGGCACUUUUAUAUUGAAAAUAAAUUUUUUUUACUGAA